UGAAUACGAGACGCUAAGGCGUCGAAGUAGUGUAUGUCAUACUUCCAAGAAAAGCUUGCACUGUCAUAGAUAAAAAACGCCUGUACCAUAACCGACACAGGUGGGUAGGUAGAGUAUACUAAGGGGCGCGAGAUAACUCUCUCUAAGGAACUCGGCAAAAUAACUCCGUAACUUCGGGAGAAGGAGUGCCUUAUUCUUAAGGUUGCAAUAACAAGAUCCAAGCAACUGUUUAUCAAAAACACAGGUCUCCGCUAAGUCGUAAGACGAUGUAUGGGGGCUGACGCCUGCCCAGUGCCAGAAGGUUAAAGAAGCUGGUUAGCAUUUGCGAAGCUAGUAACUGAAGCCCUGGUGAACGGCGGCCGUAACUAUAACGGUCCUAAGGUAGCGAAAUUCCUUGUCGGGUAAGUUCCGACCCGCACGAAAGGCGUAAUGAUUUGGAUACUGUCUCGGAGAGGGGCUCGGCGAAAUAGACUUGUCUGUGAAGAUGCGGACUACCUGCACCAGGACAGAAAGACCCUAUGAAGCUUACUGUAACUUGAAAUUGAAAUUGGACUUUAUUCGCGCAGUAUAGGUGGGAGGCGUUGAUUAUAAUCUUGCGGGAUUAUUGGAGCCAUUAGUGAGAUACCACUCUUGUAAUGUUAGAUUUCUAACUUUGAAUCAUUAUCUGGUCAAAGAACAGUUUCAGGCGGGCAGUUUGACUGGGGCGGUCGCCUCCUAAACGGUAACGGAGGCGUACAAAGGUUUCCUCUGAACGGUUAGAAAUCGUAUCUAGAGUGUAAAGGCAUAAGGAAGCUUGACUGUGAGACCUACAAGUCGAGCAGGGACGAAAGUCGGUCUUAGUGAUCUGACGGUACUGAGUGGAAAGGCCGUCACUCAACGGAUAAAAGUUACUCUAAGGAUAACAGGCUGAUCUCCCCCAAGAGUUCACAUCGACGGGGAGGUUUGGCACCUCGAUGUCGGCUCAUCGCAUCCUGGGGCGGUAGUACGUCCCAAGGGUUGGGCUGUUCGCCCAUGAAAGCGGUACGCGAGCUGGGUUCAGAACGUCGUGAGACAGUUCGGUCCAUAUCCGGUGUAGGCGUUAGAAUAUUGAGAGGAGCCUUCUUUAGUACGAGAGGACCGAGAAGGACAUACCUCUGGUGUACCAGUUAUCGUGCCAACAGUAAACGCUGGGUAGCUAUGUAUGGAGUGGAUAACCGCUGAAAGCAUCUAAGUGGGAAGCCCACCUCAAGAUAAGUAUUCUCAC
rnacentral:rRNA from 1 species